rnacentral:rRNA from 1 species
CCUACGGGUGGCAGCAGUGGGGAAUAUUGGGCAAUGGGCGCAAGCCUGACCCAGCAACGCCGCGUGAAGGAAGACGGCUUUCGGGUUGUAAACUUCUUUUGUCAGGGACGCGUAGGAGACGGUACCUGACGAAUAAGCCACGGCUAACUACGUGCCAGCAGCCGCGGUAAUACGUAGGUGGCAAGCGUUGUCCGGAUUUACUGGGUGUAAAGGGCGUGUAGCCGGGUUGACAAGUCAGAUGUGAAAUCCUGCGGCUUAACCGCAGAACUGCAUUUGAAACUGUUGAUCUUGAGUACUGGAGAGGCAGAUGGAAUUACUAGUGUAGCGGUGAAAUGCGUAGAUAUUAGGAGGAACACCAGUGGCGAAGGCGGUCUGCUGGACAGCAACUGACGGUGAGGCGCGAAAGCGUGGGGAGCAAACAGGAUUAGAUACCCCAGUAGUC